UAUCACAAAGAUUCCUAAGAGACCGGAUACGACAUAUCCUAUCCCAGUAAACCUCCCCCAAAUUUUUUUAAAUUCAGAAUGGACCAUAUUACUUAUUGUUUGUUCGCUUAUAAUAUUCCUAUUAUCAAAUCCUUGAUUUAUUACUUCAUGACCAAUUGUCUGUCUUAUUAGAUUUUUCUAGGCCGUUUCAGUUUGAUGCGGGUACAUGAGGUGUUUUAGUAGUGCAUUGAUUAUUUCCGGAAUGUAAAUUCCGACCGUCAUGAAAUUAUCUGCAUUUUCGUAAGACCAGGAUAGUGUGGUAGCUGGUUUCAAUUUUUGAGGAGGAUAUUAUAUUUCCUAGAGGUGUGUAGUACACUCUAUGUUGAUGGAAAUAAAACAUGUUUGAAAAUAUACGGGGUGUGUUUCUGCUUUCUGUAAUAGUUUUAUUCUUCGCAUGUGUUAGAUUUCGACGGGCGUUGGUAUGUCACANCUGGAAUGUAAAUUCCGACCAUCAUGAAGUUAUCUGCAUUUUCGUAAGACCAGGAUAGUGUGGUAGCUGGUUUCAAUUUUUGAGGAGAAUAUUAUAUUUCCUAGAGGUGUGUAGUACACUCUAUGUUGAUGGAAAUAAAAUAUGUUUAAAAAAAUAUACGGGGUGUGUUUCUGCUUUCUGUAAUAGUUUUAUUCUUCGCAUGUGUUAUAGUUUUAUUCUUCGCAUGUGUUAGAUUUCGACGGGCGUUGGUAUGUCACAGUCGUCCACUUUGGUAUGUCACAGUCGUCCACUUCUAAGCUGUUGAAAGAUGUGAUGUAGACUUGUGAUCCACCACAAUCAUAAGCUAUACAUUUGUUUGUAGUUGUGCAAAAUGUAAAGAAUAUAAACAGAGAGUCUUUGAGCAUGUUGAUUAUUUGUAUUAUAUAAUAAAUAAAUAAAGAAAAAAAAAAAAAAAAAAAAAUAUAUCUAUAUAUAAAUAAAUGAACAAAUAGUUACAAAUAAUAUAAGGAAAUUGUGAUAGUAAUGAUGUG